rnacentral:rRNA from 1 species
UACGGGGGGGGCAAGCGUUGUUCGGAAUUACUGGGCGUAAAGGGCCAGUAGGCGGCCAACUAAGUCGGAUGUGAAAGCCCCGGGCUUAACCUGGGAAUGGCAUUUGGGACUGCAAGGCUUGAGUGCGGCAGAGGAGACUGGAAUUCCUGGUGUAGCAGUGAAAUGCGUAGAUAUCAGGAGGAAUACCGAUGGCGAAGGCAGGUCUCUGGGCUGACACUGACGCUCAUGCACGAAAGCGUGGGGAGCAAACAGG